rnacentral:rRNA from 1 species
AACUUGAGAGUUUGAUCAUGGCUCAGAACGUACGCUGGCGGCACGCCUAACACAUGCAAGUCGAACGAAGUAGCAAUACUUAGUGGCAGACGGGUGAGUAACAUGUAGGUAUCUGCCCUUUGGCCUGGAAUAACACGAGGAAACUUGUGCUAAUACCGGAUAAGUCUUUACGGAGAAAGCUUUAUGCACCAUUGGAUGAGCCUGCACUUGAUUAGUUUGUUGGUGGGGUAAUGGCCUACCAAGACUGUGAUCAAUAGCUGAUUUGAGAGGAUGAUCAGCCACAUUGGGACUGAGACACGGCCCAAACUCCUACGGGAGGCAGCAGUGGGGAAUCUUGCACAAUGGAGGAAACUCUGAUGCAGCGAUGCCGCGUGAGUGAAGAAGGCCCUUGGGUUGUAAAGCUCUUUCGUCGGGGAAGAAAAUGACUGUACCCGAAUAAGAAGGUCCGGCUAACUUCGUGCCAGCAGCCGCGGUAAUACGAAGGGACCUAGCGUAGUUCGGAAUUACUGGGCUUAAAGAGUUCGUAGGUGGUUGAAAAAGUUAGUGGUGAAAUCCCAGAGCUUAACUCUGGAACUGCCAUUAAAACUUUUCAGCUAGAGUAUGAUAGAGGAAAGCAGAAUUUCUAGUGUAGAGGUGAAAUUCGUAGAUAUUAGAAAGAAUACCAAUUGCGAAGGCAGCUUUCUGGAUCAUUACUGACACUGAGGAACGAAAGCAUGGGUAGCGAAGAGGAUUAGAUACCCUCGUAGUCCAUGCCGUAAACGAUGUGUGUUAGACGUUGGAAAUUUAUUUUCAGUGUCGCAGGGAAACCGAUAAACACACCGCCUGGGGAGUACGACCGCAAGGUUAAAACUCAAAUGAAUUGACGGGGACCCGCACAAGUAGUGGAGCAUGUGGUUUAAUUCGAAGAUACGCGCAGAACCUUACCAACACUUGACAUGUUCGUCGCGACUCUAAGAGAUUAGAGUUUUCGGUUCGGCCGGACGAAACACAGGUGCUGCAUGGCUGUCGUCAGCUCGUGUCGUGAGAUGUUGGGUUAAGUCCCGCAACGAGCGCAACCCUCACUUUUAGUUGCCAUCAUUAAGUUGGGCACUCUGAAAGAACUGCCAGUGAUAAGCUGGAGGAAGGUGGGGAUGACGUCAAGUCCUCAUGGCCCUUACGUGUUGGGCUACACACGUGCUACAAUGGUAUCUACAACAGGAAGCGAAACUGCGAAGUUAAGCAAAUCCCUAAAAGAUACCUCAGUUCGGAUUGCACUCUGCAACUCGAGUGCAUGAAGCUGGAAUUACUAGUAAUCGUGGAUCAGCGUGCCACGGUGAAUGCGUUCCCGGGUCUUGUACACACCGCCCGUCACACCAUGGGAGUUGGUUCUACCUUAAGGCAAGGUUUUAAACCCUUGACCACGGUAUAGUCAGCGACUGGGGUGAAGUCGUAACAAGGUAGCCGUAGGGGAACCUGCGGCUGGAUUACCUCCUUUCUAA